AACGAACGCUGGCGGCGUGCUUAACACAUGCAAGUCGAACGGUAAGGCCCUUCGGGGUACACGAGUGGCGAACGGGUGAGUAACACGUGGGUGAUCUGCCCUGCACUUCGGGAUAAGCCUGGGAAACUGGGUCUAAUACCGGAUAGGACCACUGCCUGCAUGGGUGGUGGUGGAAAGCUUUUGCGGUGUGGGAUGGGCCCGCGGCCUAUCAGCUUGUUGGUGGGGUGAUGGCCUACAAAGGCGACGACGGGUAGCCGGCCUGGGAGGGUGACCGGCCACACUGGGACUGAGAUACAGCCCAGACUCCUACGGGAGGCAGCAGUGGGGAAUAUUGCACAAUGGGCGCAAGCCUGAUGCAGCGACGCCGCGUGAGGGAUGACGGCCUUCGGGUUGUAAACCUCUUUCAGCACCGACGAAGCGCAAGUGACGGUAGGUGCAGAAGAAGGACCGGCCAACUACGUGCCAGCAGCCGCGGUAA
rnacentral:rRNA from 1 species